rnacentral:lncRNA from 1 species
GACUCAAGGUUAACAACAUCAGGAAGCUUUGAACUUGCCAUUGAAGAACAAGGAAGCGUACCUGAGAACACAAUAAGGUGAAAAACGCAAAGGGAGUCGCAGGAAGACAGAGAGCAGAAGAGAGCUAAUUUCUUCGGAAGACAGAAGGAAUUCGAAAUGAAAGGCAAUGAUGAGACGAAACGUAGAGCUGAACAGUUUUGUCUUGGAGCGGCGCGAUCAUUAAUUGCUCUCGAAGUUUACCCUCUCAACGGUUAAGUAAUAACCGGAGAGAAGGUAAAGGGGCAAAAGAAUGAUCGAUUGGGCUUGUCUACAUCUAUCAAGGGCCAGGUCCACAAUGAUAGCCCAUCACUUAAAGGCCCAGGCAAGCCCAACUUGUUCAGACCUGAUCUCCAGCCGAGACAGCUUAACCCACAAGAUUCAUCACUUCACCAAGGUUAGACCUACUCAUCACAUAGAAUAUAUAAGAUUCGACUUGUUAAAACAAGGGUACCUCGGAUCUAUGCUGAGCUGAGAGCUUAGAGUUCAACUCAUCAGAAGCCGAGCUCAUAGGUCGGAACAGUCCAGCUCGGACAACAUGACCUGAGAGCCCGGCCAGCUAAAGGAAACCCAGAGCUCAUUUUACUAAGCGAAAGACAGAGCUCUCAGGUCGGCUAGUCUAGCUCGGACAACGCACCUGAGAGCCCGGAUGAAGGAGAUUCAAAGCUCAAUUCAUCUAAGAAGAGACCAAGCUCAUAGAUCGGUCAGGCAACCCAGUUUGGAAAUACGAGAGCCCAGUUGGCUAAAUGGAUCCGAAGUUCGGCUCACGAGUACAGUUAGUUCAGCUCGGAAAAAACAAAUUUCAGUUAAAGCUACGAAGAAAAGCAGUUUCAGUACUCCAUCCAUGAUAGAGAAAGAACAACUCAAGUAUGAACGAAAACGAGAACUUCAUUAAAAGAAAAGCACAUUACAGCACGUUACAAAGGCCUACACUACGGGACGAAAGACUAUCCUUAAAGGAUUUACAUAGC